CUUCUUGCCAUAUCAGAGCCUCUAUUGAGUGGAGGGAUCAGGUAGGGGACCCAGAUUGUCCUGAGCCGGUGCAUGAGGGACAGGAGGCAUGGGGGUGGCGAUCCUUUCUGGUUCCGCCUCAAGAGGUGGCUCAGGCUCCCGAGUGC